rnacentral:rRNA from 1 species
AUUGAACGCUGGCGGCAUGCUUUACACAUGCAAGUCGAACGGCAGCGCGGGCUUCGGCCUGGCGGCGAGUGGCGAACGGGUGAGUAAUGCAUCGGAACGUGCCCAGUAGUGGGGGAUAGCCCGGCGAAAGCCGGAUUAAUACCGCAUACGACCUGAGGGUGAAAGCGGGGGACCGAAAGGCCUCGCGCUAUUGGAGCGGCCGAUGUCGGAUUAGCUAGUUGGUGGGGUAAAGGCUUACCAAGGCGACGAUCCGUAGCUGGUCUGAGAGGACGACCAGCCACACGGGGACGGGAACACGGCCCAGACUCCUACGGGAGGCAGCAGUGGGGAAUUUUGGACAAUGGGGGCAACCCUGAUCCAGCCAUGCCGCGUGCGGGAAGAAGGCCUUCGGGUUGUAAACCGCUUUUGUUCGGGAAGAAAUCCUCUGGGCUAAUACCCCGGGGGGAUGACGGUACCGGAAGAAUAAGCACCGGCUAACUACGUG